ensembl:lncRNA
AACUAAAUUUGUUAAAGUCUUUAACCCUUGUGCUAUCUUUGAUGACCCCCCCUUAUAUUGAGGUGUUCUCCCUACCAUGACAAAGGUGAAUAAAGGUGGAAAGAUUUCAUGUAAUCCAUGGACACCAGUGAAGAUCACAAAUCAUUGAAGAAAAAAGGUUCAGCGCAAUGUCUAGUGGGUCUAGAUGACCCAACUCCCAAUGGAUAGCACAAGGGUUAAGAGUAGUGGGAAUUGAUUGUUUAGGUAGUGUUAAGAAUUGUAUGAUGUCAUCGGCAUACAAAGCAAUCUUAUGCUCCAUGUUCCCCAGCGAUAUUCCCUUAACCUCAGCUUGCAUGCGCAUAGUUUCAGUUAGUGGCUCAAAUGCUAAGGCAAAAAGAAGUGGGCUAAGAGGACAACCUUGGCACGUCUCUCGCUAAUGGAAAGGGUUCAGAGCAGCGACCAUCAGUCAACACAGAGGCUGUAGGUGAAUGGUAAAUGGCCUGUAUCCAUCUAAGAAAGCUACCCCCAAGUCCGAAUCUAUGGAGAACGUCAAAAAGGUACUUCCACUCUAUCCGAUUGAAAGCUUUUUCAGCAUCGAGAGAGACAGCCAGGGCUUUCUGCUUCCUUUCAGAGGAGAACUGUAUAAUAUUCAGCAGCCUUCUCACGUUGCUGGGGAAUAACCGACCCGGCACAAACCCUAACUGGUCUGAGUGAACGAGGGUUGGGAGGAAGUUCUGCAGCCUUUGUGUUAUGUGCCUGUCAGUCUCCUCCCCCUCCUGCUCUGCUCCUGACUCCACCAGCUGGGACCAAUUCACCUCGUCACUGCUUCUGCUCUUAAGGAGUUCCAGACCCAUUAGCCAACGCCAGUUCGUUGCCCUUUAUGGAUUCCAGCCUCCAAGUGUCCCCAGUGUGGAUGUCAGUCCGAGUCCUCCUACAGUCCGGUGGAAACCUCAAGCUCUGCCAAGCUGCGCUCUUACCUCCAGCCACGCCACAAGCCGCUGUUCUCUCCAGCUGCCCUCCAAGCCACACCAACUUUCCUGGAAGGAAAAAAAUAAAACUUUUUACUUCCCGUUCACUUCCUGGUCCUCAUUCUGGGUUUCAGCAUCUGGGUCUGUCAAUCCUUCAAGUCAUGACAGAACGAACUGGCCUAACUCCUGACCCAGCUGACCCAGAAGGACUCCGCCACGCAGUUAAUCAGCAAGGAACCUUUCUGGAACUGCACUCUAACGCCAUUUCUCGGAUGUCUAAGAUUCAAGAAGACCUACUUUCACAGCUCAAUGGUAUGACGCAAAUAUUAAUGAAUUUGCCCGCACAAAUGUUUAACUCUGUCACCACAGCAACACUUCCUACUUCCGGCCAAACUUCCGCUCCCGUUCCGACCCCGGAAAAUUUUCGCCUGGAACCAGAGCCAUUCUACGGUGAAGUAGAAGCAUGCGGCGGAUAUCUCCUCCAAUGUCAACUUCUCUUUCAACAAGCUCCCAGGUACUACUAUUCUGAUCCCAGCAAAAUCACCCUAAUCGUCAACUCCCUGAGAAAUAUAGCCCUGCAGUGGGCCCAAGCUUUUCUGGCGGUCAAUCCCAUUACUCACCUUCCGUUUGAUCGUUUCAUAAAGGAGAUCCGUCUGGUGUUCGAUCAGCCAAAAAAGCAGGAAGAAGCCACCAGAAAACUCCUCGCUCUCAGACAGCAGAAUCGCACGGUCAACGACCAUAUCAUUGACUUCAGAAUCCC